rnacentral:rRNA from 1 species
CACCUCUAGCAUUACCAGUAUUAGAGGCACUGCCUGCCCAGUGACAUUCGUUAAACGGCCGCGGUAUCCUGACCGUGCAAAGGUAGCAUAAUCAUUUGUUCCUUAAUUAGGGACUUGUAUGAAUGGCCACACGAGGGUUUAACUGUCUCUUACUUUCUAUCAGUGAAAUUGACCUCCCCGUGAAGAGGCGGGGAUAUAACAAUAAGACGAGAAGACCCUAUGGAGCUUAAAUUAAUUUGUCCAACAAACCUAACAUCAAUCCAACAGGAACAACACUAUUUUAACUGGACAAUAGAUUUUGGUUGGGGUGACCUCGGAGUACAACCUAGCCUCCGAGUGAUUCAAACUAAGACUUACAUGUCAAAGUCACAACACUUAUUGAUCCAAUCUUAUUGAUCAACGGACCAAGUUACCCUGGGGAUAACAGCGCAAUCCCAUUUAAGAGUUCAUAUCGCCAAUGGGGUUUACGACCUCGAUGUUGGAUCAGGACACCCAAAUGGUGCAGCAGCUAUUAAAGGUUCGUUUGUUCAACG